GAGUUUGAUCAUGGCUCAGAUUGAACGCUGGCGGCAUGCCUUACACAUGCAAGUCGAACGGUAACGGGCCUUCGGGUGCCGACGAGUGGCGAACGGGUGAGUAAUGUAUCGGAACGUACCUUUCAGUGGGGGAUAACGUAGCGAAAGUUACGCUAAUACCGCAUAUUCUGUGCGCAGGAAAGCAGGGGAUCGCAAGACCUUGCGCUGAUUGAGCGGCCGAUAUCAGAUUUAGCUAGUUGGUGAGGUAAAGGCUCACCAAGGCGACGAUCUGUAGCGGGUCUGAGAGGAUGAUCCGCCACACUGGAACUGAGACACGGUCCAGACUCCUACGGGAGGCAGCAGUGGGGAAUUUUGGACAAUGGGGGCAACCCUGAUCCAGCCAU
rnacentral:rRNA from 1 species